GAAUGUGGCUCUGUGGGACGGUGGGUUCUAGAUCACCAUUUGUGUGAUGGAGACAAUGGCCUCUGCCCAGGGAACCCCCACCCUCACCAGGCAUGGUUCAGGUUGGGACUUUGCUCCACUCCUCCUUUGUGAUGGGAGGGGCAGAGGUUUGGAGGACAGGAAAAGGGACAGCAAGCUUCUGUAUUGGACAUGGAGGUCACGGGGCCCAGAACUGGAGUGGCGGGGGAGUGAAAGUUGUGAGGGGCAGAGGAGAACCUAGUCAGCCCGGCCCCUAGUGAGGACCACUGAUCCGGGGGAGGGGAACUGAGACACAGGAAGUCUCCAGCAGUCGGGAUCCUGGGAUCCAAGGUGUGGGGUCAUGGGUCUGGGGGCCUGUGGAUGGAGUUCUUGGUCGUGGCUGUCACACGGACACCAGGUAAACACGUGCGCGAGGCCUGAUCCAACUCCGGCUUGUUCAGAGGGCUUCAUGCUCAGAUUUCAUAGUCCCAUAUCACCGUGGGACCGAGCAGUCACCCUGCACAAGCCUUCCCCACCCAGGGCGUUGCCUUCUCCUUUCUGCUCCUGCUGUAAACAGGUGUUCUUUUGAGCACCUUUUCGAGGUCCAUUAGUGCCCACGUUUGCAGUUUCAGGCUUUCUCUCGGUGGUUUCACUGCUUUAAAAUAGCCCUAAUGCUGAUGUGUGAGGCACAAGAAAGGUGUGACCUACACUGGGGAGAAAAUAUGGGUGUCAAUAAGCUUCCUUCAGGCAUGAGUUCUAAUGCUGUGGGCAGAGUUGAGGGUUAAGCGUCGUAUGUAUUAAACAAGGGGUCUUAAAGCAAAAACAUGAGGGAAACAAGGUUACGUAUUGAUGUGACUCAAACCAGGGCAUGCAGAAACCUAACCCCGUAGAUCCUCUAGGAGCGAGGGUUCAUUGCUCAUUGCUCAUGCUGACUCCAUAGAACAUAACUACUGGGACUAAUGAGGAUCACUGUGAUUUGUUCAGUAUGAGGCUUCUCAGCUUGAGUGUUUUGAGAUCCAUCUGUCUAGAAAACUUAAAAUACAGAUUCCUGUCCCCCACCCUUUCUAGGUUCUGGCUCUAAGGUCUGGGGCUGGGUAUGGAGACUCUUCAUGCAUAUGCUAUGAGGUGUAGGGGUUUCAGGAUCUGGGGAUCUGGGUAUGGGUGACAAGGUCUGGGGAUGGGUGUGGAGACUCUUCACACAUACUGAACUCUUGAGGUGUAGGAAUUUCAGGAUCUACUUUGAGAAUCCCCUGGUUGAAGCUAUGGCCCUGGCUGGUGAGAGAGCUCCUGUCCCCAGUCUCAGAAGUAGCUGGUGGCCUCAUCUCUCUGGGCCAAGGGGUGGCCAGUGCUUCUAUAAAUGGUCCAGAAAGAGUGGAAAAGGUCUAGACAGGAAAGGAUCAUCUGAGUUUCGUGCCCUGCUAAGGCCUCCGUCUUCCCUUUGGUAAAACCAGGAUAACCGAUAAUACCUAUUUCACAGGCUUUGUUUGUGAAUGUAAUGAAAUAAUGUACUUUGAACUUGCAAGUGUUUUUCUUUUCAUUCCACUUGUAGAAGAGAGAAGAAGCCAGGCUGGGGGUGACAGGCCUUGGAUGUUCCCGCUGGAGUUUGUGCUGGGUCUUCAAGGUGCCCUUCUCCUUUCAGGUAACCUGGGUGGGGAGGACCAUGCUUCAGAGCAAAGAGUGGAGGACGUUUUCCUCCGGAAGUUCAUGCUGUGCACUUUCCCAGCGUGUCUGGCCGACCAGCUGGUCCUAAAGCGCCAGGCUAACCAGCUGGAGAUCUGUGCCCUGGUCCUGGGCAGCUGCCUGCACACAAAUUCUACUUCCUGGUGGGCUACAGUGAGACUCUGCUGUCCCACUUUUACAAAUGUCCCAUCCGUCUGCACCUCCAGACUGUGCCUUCCAAGGCCUUGUGUAAGCACAUCUAAGACAGUCACCUUGUCUGCAUCAGGCUCUAGCCUGCGAAGGACAGAGGCGUGUGGGAGAGGAGUGAAGCAGAGACGGGGAAAUACAUCCCCUCACUGUCUUGAGGAUUCCUUUCCGAAGCUGCUAUUGAAUAAAUGGACCUUCCGUGUU